AGCAGCCGCGGUAAUUCCAGCUCCAAUAGCGUAUAUUAAAGUUGCUGCAGUUAAAAAGCUCGUAGUUGAAUUUCGGGACCAUCAUGUCGGUCGUGCCUCGGUACGUACUGGCAUUGUUGGUUUCUCCCUUCUGACGAACCAUGAUGUCAUUUAUUUGGUGUUGUGGGAAAUCAGGACUGUUACUUUGAAAAAUUAGAGUGUUUAAAGCAGGCUCACGCUUGAAUACAUUAGCAUGGAAUAAUGAAAUAGGACGUUUGAUUCUAUUUUGUUGGUUUCUAGGAUCGACGUAAUGAUUAAUAGGGAUAGUUGGGGGCAUUAGUAUUCAAUUGUCAGAGGUGAAAUUCUUGGAUUUAUUGAAGACUAACUACUGCGAAAGCAUUUGCCAAGGAUGUUUUCAUUAAUCAAGAACGAAAGUUAGGGGAUCGAAGACGAUCAGAUACCGUCGUAGUCUUAACCAUAAACUAUGCCGACUAGGGAUCGGAUGAUGUUAAUUUUUAAUGACUC
rnacentral:rRNA from 1 species